CUGGCAACCGCGAGGAAAAUGUAAAUAUAACUUCAUUAGCCUAAUUACCAAGUUGUUAAUUGAGUUGCACGGUACUACUUUCCAAUAUUUAUUUCUUCACAGAAUAAGGUCGUAUUCAGUCAAAUUCGGGACAGCAAUGAUUUGUGCUCGUCUGCUGCGGGAGAAUGCGGAGACAUUACUUCAAUAAUAAGGAAUCAGGGUACUUCGAUACACAAGCCCUGUCGAGUCCUAGUUCUGCAUUUAUGCUGUUGGAUUUGGUCAAGGACAACUUCAUAAACGUUUUGCAGACGAUUGUGAUCGGUGGUUCAAUCAAUUGGAAUAAGCCUCACAUAAUUCCGCCUGGGUUUUGUCAGCUUCGUGAUAUCUCCCGAAUGUGUUUGGCUGAGAAGUAAUUACACGCUGGUCCUGGGAGAUGAUAAUGCCAUGGAUCAGACCCAAUCGAUGCAGGAUCAGAUGUCGAUAGUUUCUUCUUGUUAUAUGGCACUAACGUUCCUAGAGGAACUCCGCCGUCUCAACGUAGUAUUACUUGCGUCAUUUUCAUUAGUACUUAGUUGAGAUUUCUAUGCCAAAUAACACGCCUUGAAUGCAUUCUGAGUGGCAAGCUCUAGAAUACGCGUGACCACAGUGCAAGUCAGAGGAAAUUUCUUUGAAGAAAAAUUUCCCCGACCAGAACGGGAAUCGAACCCGAACCCCCGGCAUGUUAGGUUUGACGCUAACCACUCGGCCACGGGAGCACAUGUCGAUAGUUUAGAUAGUUCAAUAAAUGAAUAAAGAUACAUACAAAAGCUCAAUAAGUUUAUAACAAUAUAUGCAUAAAGGUUGGGUUAACAUAACAUGUUUAGGGUAUAUGUUAAACCAACGUUGAACCGACUGCUUAUACUAGGUUAUACUGGCCGAUUUGACAUUUGUUUAUCAUAGUUAUCGCGUAAUAUGUUUGCUAAGUAUUGGUAAUAAAUUUACUGAGUAUUGGUAACAUUUACCAAAAAGCUCGUCAUAUAUACCAACUUUUUGGGAGAGUGUAUGAUCGGCGAUUAUGAUGAACUCGAGGAAUCGCUGUUUAUACAAAAAAGAGCGUGAAGUGUAAUGUGCACCCGUGGCCGAGUGGUUAGCGUCCCACACUAUCAUGCCGGGUGUUCGGGUUCGAUUCCCGUUCUGGUUGGGGGAUUUUUCGUCAAAGAAAAUUCUUCCGGCUUGCACUGUGGUCACGCGUAUUCUAGAGUUUGCCACUUUAGAGUACAUUCAAGGCGUGUUAUUCGGCAUAGAAAUCUCAACCAAGUAUUAAUGAACGACGCUAGUUAAUGAAUACGUUGAGACGGCAAAAGUUCCACAGGGAACGUUAACGCCAUUCAAGAAGAAGAAGUGAAGUGUAAACCAGAAUAACAUCGGUGGAUGAACUAAGUGUAUUGAUAAUGAAUUCUACCAAAUGUUUACAGUGGCGUGUAUUCUGGAAUAACGUUGUACUCACUACACAUUGUUUUCACGUGUAGUGUAUUCGGGAAUAAGGCCCAAUAACCUUUUUUGUUUUAAAUCACAUCAGAAUUCAUAAUUUGUGGCUAAAAAUGAUUGUUAACAUACAAAAAAUCGAAGUUUCGAAAAUUCCUAAAAAUUUGAUGUUCCACAAAGUUCGUCAAAAAUAGUUUUACCAUCUUGGGCCCAUUUUUAAAAUUUUCUGCACGACUUCUAUUUUGUAUGAAAAAAAAAUAUAUAUACAUAUAUUUCGGAUAUUGCGAAUUGAAUUUUUAUUUUGUAAAU